GACGAACGCUGGCGGCGUGCUUAACACAUGCAAGUCGAACGGAAAGGCCCUGCUUUUGUGGGGUGCUCGAGUGGCGAACGGGUGAGUAACACGUGAGUAACCUGCCCUUGACUUUGGGAUAACUUCAGGAAACUGGGGCUAAUACCGGAUAGGAGCUCCUGCUGCAUGGUGGGGGUUGGAAAGUUUCGGCGGUUGGGGAUGGACUCGCGGCUUAUCAGCUUGUUGGUGGGGUAGUGGCUUACCAAGGCUUUGACGGGUAGCCGGCCUGAGAGGGUGACCGGCCACAUUGGGACUGAGAUACGGCCCAGACUCCUACGGGAGGCAGCAGUGGGGAAUAUUGCACAAUGGGCGGAAGCCUGAUGCAGCAACGCCGCGUGCGGGAUGACGGCCUUCGGGUUGUAAACCGCUUUCGCCUGUGACGAAGCGUGAGUGACGGUAAUGGGUAAAGAAGCACCGGCUAACUACGUGCCAGCAGCCGCGGUGAUACGUAGGGUGCGAGCGUUGUCCGGAUUUAUUGGGCGUAAAGGGCUCGUAGGUGGUUGAUCGCGUCGGAAGUGUAAUCUUGGGGCUUAACCCUGAGCGUGCUUUCGAUACGGGUUGACUUGAGGAAGGUAGGGGAGAAUGGAAUUCCUGGUGGAGCGGUGGAAUGCGCAGAUAUCAGGAGGAACACCAGUGGCGAAGGCGGUUCUCUGGGCCUUUCCUGACGCUGAGGAGCGAAAGCGUGGGGAGCGAACAGGCUUAGAUACCCUGGUAGUCCGCGCUGUAAACGGUGGGUACUAGGUGUGGGGUCCAUUCCACGGGUUCCGUGCCGUAGCUAACGCUUUAAGUACCCCGCCUGGGGAGUACGGCCGCAAGGCUAAAACUCAAAGGAAUUGACGGGGCCCCGCACAAGCGGCGGAGCAUGCGGAUUAAUUCGAUGCAACGCGUAGAACCUUACCUGGGUUUGACAUGGAUCGGGAGUGCUCAGAGAUGGGUGUGCCUCUUUUGGGGUCGGUUCACAGGUGGUGCAUGGCUGUCGUCAGCUCGUGUCGUGAGAUGUUGGGUUAAGUCCCGCAACGAGCGCAACCCUUGUUCACUGUUGCCAGCACGUUAUGGUGGGGACUCAGUGGAGACCGCCGGGGUCAACUCGGAGGAAGGUGGGGAUGGCGUCAAGUCAUCAUGCCCCUUAUGUCCAGGGCUUCACGCAUGCUACAAUGGCUGGUACAGAGAGUGGCGAGCCUGUGAGGGUGAGCGAAUCUCGGAAAGCCGGUCUCAGUUCGGAUUGGGGUCUGCAACUCGACCUCAUGAAGUCGGAGUCGCUAGUAAUCGCAGAUCAGCAACGCUGCGGUGAAUACGUUCCCGGGGCU
rnacentral:rRNA from 1 species